rnacentral:rRNA from 1 species
UACGGAGGGAGCUAGCGUUGUUCGGAAUUACUGGGCGUAAAGCGCGCGUAGGCGGCUUUGUAAGUUAGAGGUGAAAGCCCGGAGCUCAACUCCGGAACUGCCUUUAAAACUGCAUCGCUUGAAUCCAGGAGAGGUGAGUGGAAUUCCGAGUGUAGAGGUGAAAUUCGUAGAUAUUCGGAAGGAACACCAGUGGCGAAGGGCGGCUCA